rnacentral:lncRNA from 10 species
CAGCCGGGCGCGUCAUCCUCCGGGGGCGGGGCCCGGGCCGCAUUGUCUCGUCUAGGGCCGGCUGGACGCCCCAGAGGCCGGACCUGGGCAACCCCAGCCUGGAGGUGCCGGGGCCGGAGCUCCCAGAGGGCUGGGUGCGAGGCCUAGGCGGGGUCAGGUUCGGGUUCCUAGGCCAUAGCGGAGCUGCAGCCCAGGCGGCCGGAGCGGAACCCAGCCCCGCUCCGAGUGCCACGUCUCCAGGAACCCCCUCCUUACUCUUGGACAACACUCCGCCCCCGCCCGGGCCUCCGUCCCCCAAACCGCCCUCAUUUGUGCAGCGCCAGAUCCUUCGGACACAUCCCUAGGUGUCUCCAUCCUCAUUCGGUCCAUCCAACUCCCAGACCUCACGUCAACCGGCUGCACCCCACUUUCCAGCCUGCGCCCCAGAUCUGCAGCCUUCGCCCCUAGAUACACCCGCCUGGUGAUGAGGCGCUCCUCGCGUUCCUUCCGGUAACCGCGUUGCGAAGACCACGCUGCCGGGUUGCAAACUUGGGGGGACUUCCUCCCUCCCCUCCCCCUGGGCGCCGUGCAACUGCCCUGGGACCGGGUUCUGGGAUGAGGGGGGCAGACCGGGCUCCCCAGCGGCCGGCGCAGCACGUAGCGCACGUGUAGGGUCCGCUCCCCACCCCCUCGCCGCCUCUGACAACUUUUCAGGGCUCCAGGUGUCCGUGAGCCUCCCUUCCGCCCUGGCCUCCGGUCUCUGCCUUGCUCGUGCUUCUACCACCACCCUUCCCCUCCCAACCCGGUGGAUCCUCUCGUCUCCCCCAGUCUCCAGUGCACCGGCUUUCCCUCGUCCUCUGCGCAGUCCAUCUCAGCUCAUCUCUCCAAUUCAAUGCCAUCAUCUCUCCUCACCAUCUCUCGGUGCCCUGGAAUGUUUGCUGUCAGAUGUCCCCUGUGAAACCCACAAACGCUUGCGAUUUGGCCUCCUUGUUUUAUUUUGUGUAGUCCUACAACGUCUUGUUACUACCCCCUAUUACAACACUUAUAACUCAGU